rnacentral:pre_miRNA from 1 species
UGGUGACCUGAGGAUCCCUGACUGUCACUCUGUCCCAGCCCCUCCUGGCCUUGGGGCACAGGCUGAGUCCCAGUAGUCUGUGGGGUCCUGACCC